UACGAAGGGGGGCUAGCGUUGCUCGGAAUCACUGGGCGUAAAGGGUGCGUAGGCGGGUCUUUUAAGUCAGGGGUGAAAUCCUGGAGCUCAACUCCAGAACUGCCUUUGAUACUGAGGAUCUUGAGUUCGGGAGAGGUGAGUGGAACUGCGAGUGUAGAGGUGAAAUUCGUAGAUAUUCGGAAGAACACCAGUGGCGAAGGCGACUUACUGGACACAUAUUGACGCUGAGGUGCGAAAGCGUGGGGAGCAAACAGG
rnacentral:rRNA from 1 species